rnacentral:rRNA from 1 species
GAUGAACGCUGGCGGCGUGCCUAAUACAUGCAAGUCGAGCGAACGGACGAGAAGCUUGCUUCUCUGAUGUUAGCGGCGGACGGGUGAGUAACACGUGGAUAACCUACCUAUAAGACUGGGAUAACUUCGGGAAACCGGAGCUAAUACCGGAUAAUAUUUUGAACCGCAUGGUUCAAAAGUGAAAGACGGUCUUGCUGUCACUUAUAGAUGGAUCCGCGCUGCAUUAGCUAGUUGGUAAGGUAACGGCUUACCAAGGCAACGAUGCAUAGCCGACCUGAGAGGGUGAUCGGCCACACUGGAACUGAGACGCGGUCCAGACUCCUACGGGAGGCAGCAGUAGGGAAGCUUCCGCAAUGGGCGGAAGCCUGGCGGAGCAACGCCGCGUGAGUGAUGAAGGUCUUCGGAUCGUAAAACUCUGUUAUUAGGGAAGAACAUAUGUGUAAGUAACUGUGCACAUCUUGACGGUACCUAAUCAGAAAGCCACGGCUAACUACGUG